GUGGGGAAUAUUGGACAAUGGGGGGAACCCCGAUCCAGCCAUGCCGCGUGUGUGAAGAAGGCCUUUUGGUUGUAAAGCACUUUAAGCGAGGAGGAGGCUACCGAGAUUAAUACUCUUGGAUAGUGGACGUUACUCGCAGAAUAAGCACCGGCUAACUCUGUGCCAGCAGCCGCGGUAAUACAGAGGGUGCAAGCGUUAAUCGGAUUUACUGGUCGUAAAGCGCGCGUAGGUGGCCAAUUAAGUCAAAUGUGAAAUCCCCGAGCUUAACUUGGGAAUUGCAUUCGAUACUGGUUGGCUAGAGUAUGGGAGAGGAUGGUAGAAUUCCAGGUGUAGCGGUGAAAUGCGUAGAGAUCUGGAGGAAUACCGAUGGCGAAGGCAGCCAUCUGGCCUAAUACUGACACUGAGGUGCGAAAGCAUGGGGAGCAAACAGGAUUAGAAACCCGGGUAGUCC
rnacentral:rRNA from 1 species